ACACUCCUGCGGGAGGCAGCAGUGGGGAAUUUUGGACAAUGGGCGAAAGCCUGAUCCAGCAAUGCCGCGUGUGUGAAGAAGGCCUUCGGGUUGUAAAGCACUUUUGUCCGGAAAGAAAUCCUUGGCUCUAAUACAGUCGGGGGAUGACGGUACCGGAAGAAUAAGCACCGGCUAACUACGUGCCAGCAGCCGCGGUAAUACGUAGGGUGCGAGCGUUAAUCGGAAUUACUGGGCGUAAAGCGUGCGCAGGCGGUUUGCUAAGACCGAUGUGAAAUCCCGGGGCUCAACCUGGGAACUGCAUUGGUGACUGGCAGGCUAGAGUAUGGCAGAGGGGGGUAGAAUUCCACGUGUAGCAGUGAAAUGCGUAGAGAUGUGGAGGAAUACCGAUGGCGAAGGCAGCCCCCUGGGCCAAUACUGACGCUCAUGCACGAAAGCGUGGGGAGCAAACAGGAUUAGAAACCCCUGUAGUCCCAUGA
rnacentral:rRNA from 1 species